rnacentral:rRNA from 1 species
AGUGAACGCUGGCGGCAGGCCUAACACAUGCAAGUCGAGCGGCAGCGCGUCCGACCACCCUCGGGUGGUCGGAUGGCGGCGAGUGGCGGACGGGUGAGGAAUGCAUCGGAAUCUGCCUCGUUGUGGGGGAUAACGUAGGGAAACUUACGCUAAUACCGCAUACGACCUACGGGUGAAAGUGGGGGACCUUCGGGCCUCACGCGAUGAGAUGAGCCGAUGCCGGAUUAGCUAGUUGGCGGGGUAAAGGCCCACCAAGGCGACGAUCCGUAGCUGGUCUGAGAGGAUGAUCAGCCACACUGGAACUGAGACACGGUCCAGACUCCUACGGGAGGCAGCAGUAGGGAAUAUUGGACAAUGGGCGAAGGCCUGAUCCAGCCAUGCCGCGUGAUAGAUGAAGGCCCUCUGGGUUGUAAAUAUCUUUUAUCUGGGAAGAAACUCCUCUAUUCUUAGAGGCCUGACGGUACCAGAGGAAUAAGCACCGGCUAACU